rnacentral:rRNA from 1 species
GAUGAACGCUGGCGGCGUGCCUAAUACAUGCAAGUCGAGCGAACAGACGAGGAGCUUGCUCCUCUGACGUUAGCGGCGGACGGGUGAGUAACACGUGGAUAACCUACCUAUAAGACUGGGAUAACUUCGGGAAACCGGAGCUAAUACCGGAUAAUAUAUUGAACCGCAUGGUUCAAUAGUGAAAGACGGUUUUGCUGUCACUUAUGGAUGGAUCCGCGCCGCAUUAGUUAGUUGGUAAGGUAACGGCUUACCAAGGCAACGAUGCGUAGCCGACCUGAGAGGGUGAUCGGCCACACUGGAACUGAGACACGGUCCAGACUCCUACGGGAGGCAGCAGUAGGGAAUCUUCCGCAAUGGGCGAAAGCCUGACGGAGCAACGCCGCGUGAGUGAUGAAGGUCUUCGGAUCGUAAAACUCUGUUAUUAGGGAAGAACAAAUGUGUAAGUAACUAUGCACGUCUUGACGGUACCUAAUCAGAAAGCCACGGCUAACUACGUG